rnacentral:misc_RNA from 1 species
AACGAUUUCUGUGAGGCGGGAGCCGCCCGGUCCGCCGGUCGGCCUCCCGCUGAGGAUGAACCCGUGCACAUCGACUACGUUGCUUUGGGGGUCACCGCGUCCCCGCGACGCGGGCCCCCAGAGGUUCGAAACCCUUGAAUUCAACGGCCGUCCGAGUCGCAAGUAAAUAAGUUA